rnacentral:misc_RNA from 1 species
UAAUAAGUGUUUUAUGGCACUUUUUAAAUCCAUAUACACCUUGUGUGCAAUGUCAGUCGGUUUUCUUUUUCGUCAAGAAAAAAAAGGAUCGACCAAGCAUCAACUUAUUCUAAUUGAACUUUUGUCUGAAAACUAUUAUGAAUAAACUAAUUCAAAAUA